GUAAUACAUCGGAACGUGCCCAGUAGUGGGGGAUAACCCGGCGAAAGCCGGACUAAUACCGCAUACGACCUACGGGUGAAAGCAGGGGAUCGCAAGACCUUGCGCUAUCGGAGCGGCCGAUGUCAGAUUAGCUUGUUGGUGGGGUAAAAGCCCACCAAGGCGACGAUCUGUAGCUGGUCUGAGAGGACGACCAGCCACACUGGGACUGAGACACGGCCCAGACUCCUACGGGAGGCAGCAGUGGGGAAUUUUGGGACAAUGGGCGCAAGCCUGAUCCAGCCAUGCCGCGUGCGGGAAGAAGGCCUUCGGGUUGUAAACCGCUUUUGUCAGGGAAGAAAAGCUCAGGGCUAAUACCUUGGAGUCAUCGACGGUACCUGAAGAAUAAGCACCGGCUAACUACCGUGCCAGCAGCCGCGGUAAUACCGUAGGGUGCAAGCGUUCUAAUCGGAAUUACUGGGCGUAAAGCGUGCGCAGGCGGCUUCGCAAGACAGAUCGUGAAAUCCCCGGGCUCAACCUGGGAACUGCAUCUGUGACUGCAUGGCUCGAGCUGCGGCA
rnacentral:rRNA from 1 species